UGGGUGGAGGGUAAAAGUUAAAAGGAGCAAUUUAAAAUGAGUACGAUCAAUUCAGUCCAUACAACAAAGGCCGUGGCGCUGAGACAGUGAAGAAGCUAUCCUGCAAAAAGGGGACAGUGUGAAAGAUUACGUUUUUAUGACUUGAAUCAGGGCUUUGCUUUUAAAGGCUAAUUUAUAUGACAUGAUUCUGUUGCAUAUCGCUAGGGAAGAUACAGCAAUACCAGAAAUGUUUAUGUUUUGGCUUUAACUGUAUUGGAGGAAUGGAAAGAACAGGAGGCAGUCUCGGCUUAUUAAUGCACUGAGGCUUUAACAGCCAUCUACAAGAGUGACUUCUGCGACCAUUUUAAGCUUGGGAGUGGAAAAAAUGCCUAGUGUUCUGCUAGGACGGUCUUAGGAGUUCAGACGUGAGCACCGAGUAAGGAGGAAGGAUAUGUGAUUGCUCUUUACAAAAAUAGCACAGGUACAGCUCUACUUUGGAUGCAUCUGGUUAGCAUUUCAUGCUAGAAUUGGUAAGAAUAGUCAAUAGUUCCAAACUUAUCUCCUGUGGUUACAGAAUAUCACCUAAACAGUGAACAACUGUUAUUGCUGCUGUAGGGAAAAAAAUCCAUGCAUUUGCAUUUUCAUAAAGUCUUCAUGUAGUCUUAUGUGAAGAACUGGUUGGUCAUAGUUUCUCAUUUAAUAACUUGUUCAUUUUCUAAACUGUAACCAUGAUGUUAUAUCUAUGCCACUGUCAGAUCCCUCCCUUGUAACAUUUUUAAUUUAAACAGUACUUCAUGUGAAGAGUUUUAAUUAGGAUUUAAUUAGUCAGAAGUACCCUGCGGAGAAUAUUGCUGUUCCUCUUGGAUCCACAACCUUUAGGGCAUGCAACUGGACAUGCAAUUGUAUACUAGAGCCUGCUCUUGAAGAGAGACCUCUGAAGUUCAGGAAGAAAUGGCAAGUGCAUGUCCUGUGAAUGGGCCCCGCUGUCUGGCAGCAUCCCUUCUGUUGGCCUCCCAUCAGCCAGAGUUUGAGCAGGAGCUGUGUUUCCCAUGACCCCAAAGCUGGUGCCUUCUCGCUUGUCAAAGCAGGGGGCUUUGAGGCCUGGAUUGUUUUCCAUGGAGAACUGCAAAGCCCAUCUGGGCCUCAUUCGUUGCUGGGGGGUCCAGCUUUUACUGCGCUGCAGCUG
rnacentral:lncRNA from 1 species